AGGAUCCCCCCAACCGUCAAGCGUGGGGGACCACCGCGUCCGAGUUCCCACCGCUUUUCUACUCCCCCAACACGCCAAUCAACGGACCGACCACGACCAGUCUCUCCCGUCUGGUUUCAGUUUAGGACUCCACCUGGGCGCCCCCUCACGAAAAUCCUGGACGAUUUCGCCUCGCACUUCCUCUCCAAAUCCCUCUCCUCCUCCGAUCCUGCUCCCCCCCGCAGCAGAUUCCCGGCGGCAGCGGCACCCCACCCCAGCCUCCCCCUAUACAUAGACGGCAUCCUCCUCUCCCCGGAGGCGCUAUAUUUUCCGUGAGCCCAUUCUGCCUCGUGCGUGCCUGCGUGUCCUCCGCCCGUGCCACCACCACCAUCCGUUGAACGGUUGUUGGGCCGCGCCUUCGGUGCCGAGGAG
rnacentral:rRNA from 1 species